UGGCAGUCCCUCUGUUCAGGAACGGAGGAAGAUCUGGCUCCCUUAGGUGACAUUCACACCUGAUGGAUUGGCUUGAUGCUGAGCCCUGGGACGUGCUGUUCCGACCCUCAGGGUGACCAGCUCCGGUGCUGAUGUUCCAGGAUGGCAGGUUGUGGUGAGGGAUUUGAUAAGCCCAGGGAUGGUAUGUUUUGGCAUAAUAUCACUGCAGAGCUAAUUUUCGUAUCUAUUAUCCUAUCUUGUUUCUAAUUCUUAUUUAAUGAGUUCCCCUGAAAAUAAGAAAAUCAUUGGAACAAUUUUCUUAAGUGUGAAAGAUUAGACUGAAAUCGGCAUUAAAGGGACUAAUUACCUCCAUUCUUCCACCAUUCUGAUGGCUGUUUGCUAUUGCAGAUUACUAAUUCAGCUGCAUUGGGGAAGUCACUUGCCUCUGCCUGGCUCUGCUCCUUUUUCUUUCCCUUUGAGUCACAGGACAUCAGAAAGUCAGUGUUUUCUCCUGGCUCAGGACCAUACAGAGCAAGCUUGUUGGGCUUUGUAGAGGGACUGAGAGCGAUUUCCGGGAGCAAGAUUUCCGAGAGCACUGAAAUGUAUGGGGAAGAAGAGUCAGCAGCAGCAAGACCUCUUCAGGAGUGCUAUGUGCCUGCUGUAAUAUUUAUUUAAAGCAGAGGAUUGAGAAUUUGGGGGAAUUUUCAUGGGAGGUGGGGAGCUGCAGACAAGAAAGCUGUGAACAUCUUCAAUUUUCCAUUUAACCACACAAUAUUGAAUUAUAAAUAAUUCAUACAUCUGCCAAACAUUUGAUUAAAAGAACCCAAUUCCCUCUGCAUUUGUCAAGAGCCGCUGGGUGUCCCAUCCCUCCAGCCUGGGGGAUAGUCGUUGGAGGAAUUCUGCAGCAUGGAGGCACGAGAGGCUCUGACACCACUGCUGUCCUGCUCCAAGCCCGAGGCUGAGUCACCCAGGAGCACUGUGCAUGGGAACUGGCAACAGCAGAGGGAGGAGGCUGCUGGGA